GGCCUAGAGAGAGUUGGUGAAUGGAGCUACAUCCAGCUGGUCACUGGUUACCACUGGUCAGUGGUGUUCCUCAGGGCUCAAUGUUGGGGUCAGGCACGUUUAAUACCUUUAUUUAUGAUCUGAUUGAGGGGACCAAGAACACCCUCAGUCUGCUUACUUGGAUUGAGCAUAAGUGUUGGUCUACUGGAAAGUUGGAAGGCUCUGCAGAGGGGUCUGGCCAUGGAUCUGCAGAGGGAUCUGACCUCACCAUGGAGUGAGGCUAGUGGUAAAAGGUUCAAGAAGGCCAAAUGCUGGACCCUGCACUUGGGUCACAACAACUCCUGCAGUGCUACAGGCUGGGGGGGAGUGUCUGGAAAACUCCCUGGUGGAAAAGGACCUGGGAGUAUUGGUGGACAGCAGCUGAACAUGAGCCAGUGAGUGCCCAGAUGGGCAUCAGUCCCUUCUGGCCCCAUCAGGGGAGGGUUAGAUUGGAUAUUGGUAAGAAUUUCUUCUCCAGAAGGGUUAUUAAACACUGGAACAGGCUGCCAGGGGCAGUGAUGGAGUCACCAUCCCUGGAGGUAUUUAAAAGAUGUUUAAAAAGGUGUUUAAAAGACAUUGGGCUUAGGAACAUGAUAUAGUGGUGGACUUCAUAGUGCUGUGUUAACAGUUGGACUAGAUGAUCUUAAAGUCUUUUCCAAUCUAAAUUGUUCUAUAAUUCUAUGGUUCUCUGAAAGGAAAAAUGAAGGUGUGACAGAAAUAGGAUAAUACCGAAUUUAAGAGAAGGCUGAAAGGAGAAGCUAUUUGUGCAGGAGAGAGGUGGGAAUGCAUAGAAGAAAGAAGGGGGAUUCAUAAUGUGUAGGUAUGAAAAAAGAACCAACAUUUAGAAUUAAAAAAAAACAACCUCUUUUCUUGACCUCCUUCUAACCAUCUCUUCUACCAUGGAGAUGUUACUUGUGGGGAAGAAAAGGACUUCUGUCUGCACCACUUCGAAGUUUAUUGGACAUGGAGGCUACAUCCUUUUCCAGUCUCAUCCUGUGAUGCAGGACUGUCUCCAUCUUCACGAGCUCCUCUUGCAUGUGUUCUGCCAAGACACCCCUAUCUCCCAAGAGCCUGCACUCAGCACAACUUUCUACCAUAGCCCUUUGCUGGAAGAAGGGGUGACAGGGAUCCCUUAGCCACAGCUGGAAUAAAGAAUCCGUGGAAAAGCAUUGACACAGCUUCUGGGAAGUGGGAGUAAAGUAAAGAAGGAAGUGGUGUUAAGCUAAGAAAUUAAUUCUGAUGGUUUUUGCAAUCAUGUAUUUAGCAUCACGAUGCUGUCGUGGUAAGUCCAAAAGCACCAAAAGUGGAAAAAUAAAUCAGUGUGGGGAAGAUAGAAGGAAUUUGGAAAGUCCUCCAAAUAUUCACAUUUCUUUCCAUGUACCUAAGGCUGAAAUUUGAACUGUAUAGGUAUAAGCAGUAUGCUAACAAUUAGAAAUAUAUUUAAAAUGUUUGUGCAGUUUUCUGAAAACCCAUUUCUGCAGCUUGCUGCAAAGUGAGAGCUGAGGAAGCAGAUAUCCUGAGUACCUGACACUUUUUUCUAGUGUAGCCAAACAAUAAAAAGAAGUUAAAAAAUUAGGCUCUUUUUGAACUCAGAUUUCCUGAAAUUAAAUGUGAAUUAGAAUUAGUGAUUCUGAACAUAAGCACAGUUUUGUGAAUACAGUAACUGCAUCUUGGCAAAUGAAAUUUAUGGUGAUAAAACAGGUGGACUGGCUCAAAGUAAUUUCAGAACAUUUAUGGUAUGAUACUUUCCUUCAAUCAUGUGUUCCACUUGGAAGUUCUGUAUCUGUAUCUGAAAUAACUGUUCUGGUGCUUCAGAAUACUUCCUUUAAAAGUCAUUGGCAAUUUCAACAGGAACUGAAGUUUAAAAAUAAACAUACUUAUUCUUCACCUUUAUGUACCACUAAAGCUGAAGUGGUUUGCAGUUACAGAGCUUAUCAAAUACAGUGAAUUUGAAGGUGAGUCUUCCAAAUGGUGUUAAAUAAUUAUAUUUCCUUUCGGAUUUAUACAAGUCCUAACUGUUACUUAGGCAAAGUAUUACUAUAUGCAUUGUAUGUACUGCCUUUCUGAACCACAGAUGUGGCAUAAUGAGCAUACUAUGGUUCUUGAUAUGUUCCGUGCCACUUGGAGCAACACAAAAUAUACUUUCCAAUAUGCACAUAUUGUGUUUGUGCCUUUCCCAACUAUUAGUUUCAUUUAAAAAUAAAAUUAAAUGCUACAGUAGAUUUAUCUGUUGCUGGUGAAAAAGAAGAGAGAUAUGAUGACAAUAUAAGCUUAAUGUAUAGACUAUUUUUACUAUUCACAGAAAAUAUCAAUAAUUUCUAUCAGAGAGUGUAUUAAUUUUCCUCAAGCCUUACUUCAUGAUAUACUGUAGAAACUUAGUAGCAGUGAUAAUUAAUGUCAAUCUGGAAUAUCAAGUUUUAAAACAAUACUGGGAAGAUAAUUCAUUGUGACUAGUUGAAGAAAAUAUUUUUGGUGAUGUGGUAUCUCAACAUCUGAGCUUAUAAUCAGUAGUACUGUUUCCUGAAUAUUUUUCAGAAAAGUGUGUCAGUGAUCUCAAUUUUAUUUUACAGGCCUUUGGGAAGGAGUUUUUCUUAGAAGUGCAGUAAUAGAAUGAGUUCCUGCUUAGAACUGAAACCUACAGUGGACAAAGAGCUACUGUUUUAAAGAUUACACUGGUAUUGAUUUAGAAGAGUGGGAGUGUAUUAUCAGAUAGAAUAAACUGAAGAGUAUACCUACAUGAUUAAGAAUUUCAUGAUGUAUAGUAUUAAUGUGCACUACUUAGAAUUCAGAGUAAUAAAAAAUACAAAGUUGCAAUGCUCAUAUUAAUUUUUUUUGUAUUUAGCAAUGUGUCAUAUUUUCAGAAUUAAAUCAAUAGAGGUGUUUGCACAGCAGUGCUUUUGCCAUGUAUCAGUGCAAGUGGAAAUGCCAAAACAUGGUCAUAAAGAAAGGAACCACUGUGUUCUGUGAUACUGUGAACUGGAGCCUUUUUGGAGACAGUAGCAGCAACAAACAACUGUAAUACUUCCCACCCUCCCAUAAUCUGUGAAGUUUCAGAACAUUGCUCAUUACCUUACUGUUCUCUCUUGCACUUCAGUCUGCAUGGAGGAAUUUUACAUCACCAGUAAAGAAAAUCCUCCCACAUGCAGUAAGGUAUUACUGCAUAGUACAAGUUUGCUUUAGACCAAAAAGAAUCAUUUAGGUUGAUGUUGGUUUCGGUAGUUAAGUUUGUAAUACUUCAGAACACUGUUUUUUAAAGAUUAUGAAGGUACUUAAAUCCACUGCACUGGUGCACAGACUCAAAUAAGUUGGGAAACUUGGACAAUAUCAAACACAA